GAUGAACGCUAGCUACAGGCUUAACACAUGCAAGUCGAGGGGCAGCACAGUGUAGCAAUACACGGGUGGCGACCGGCGCACGGGUGCGUAACGCGUAUCCAACCUUCCCGAUACUCUUGGAUAGCCUUCCGAAAGGGAGAUUAAUACAAGAUGGUGUUUCACUUUCGCAUGUUAUUGAAACUAAAGAUUUAUCGGUAUCGGAUGGGGAUGCGUGACAUUAGAUAGUAGGCGGGGUAACGGCCCACCUAGUCUACGAUGUCUAGGGGUUCUGAGAGGAAGGUCCCCCACACUGGAACUGAGACACGGUCCAGACUCCUACGGGAGGCAGCAGUGAGGAAUAUUGGUCAAUGGUCGGAAGACUGAACCAGCCAAGUAGCGUGAAGGAUGAAGGUUCUAUGGAUUGUAAACUUCUUUUAUACGGGAAUAAAACACCUUACGUGUAGGGUCUUGUAUGUACCGUAUGAAUAAGCAUCGGCUAACUCCGUGCCAGCAGCCGCCGCGGUAA
rnacentral:rRNA from 1 species